GGGUGGAGAGUAAAACAUACAUUGCAAAUAAUUCCCAGUUCAGCCUAAUGUGUUUUAGAAAGCCGUCAGUCUUACAAGGGCUUUUAUGAUUCUAUUUUUUAUUUACAUUAUUUCGUAAUCGGAAUUUGUGUUGGUGUGCAUGUUUUCCAUUUUCAUGCAAUCAAUAAGGUAUGAAAUGAAAUGUGCUCGACGCUUAGGUUUUUGGUGCAAAAUGAUGGAGUGAUUGACCCACUAUUAAUUUGGUAUCUAAUUUCCAAAAUUGUUUGUCUUGGUUUCUCUUUGAUUUAAAUGUAAUGUGAUAUUUUCAGUUCUCAAUAUAAAAAGCUUGCAUCAUAAAAGUAAGAUGGAUCUGUAAGUACAUUUGGUAUGUAGGUAACGUAGGUAAUUAUAAGAAUAUUGUGUUUUGUUACAAUAAGUGUAAAUAUAAGUAAGAUUAGAUUAGAGCCAUACAGAAAAAUACUUUUAAGGGUAUAUCAGUUCAGACAUUUACAGUUAACGGUGUGUGGUUGAUUGUAGACAACGAUUCAUUGUCUUUUUUGUUAAAUUCCUAAAUAGAAACUUUAUAAAUUGAUAUUUUUAUUUGAACAAUCGAGUGUCUACAACCAACUCCUCAACGAUUCUAUUCAUAUUAUUUUAUUAUCUAAACAAAUUGUAUUUCAUAGUGUAACUUUCUGUUAUGAUUUAUUAAAUUUAUAUUAUCCGUCUUAUGAUA